UCCGGUUUUUCACCGGCAGUCUCCCUAGAGUGCCCUUGCGUAGCAACUAGGGACAAGGGUUGCGCUCGUUGCGGGACUUAACCCAACAUCUCACGACACGAGCUGACGACAGCCAUGCAGCACCUCGACUAGUGUCCCUUGCGGGAAAAAGGACUUUCAUCCCCUGUCACUAGCCGUUCGAGCCCAGGUAAGGUUCUUCGCGUUGCGUCGAAUUAAACCACACGCUCCGCUGCUUGUGCGGGCCCCCGCCUAUUCCUUUGAGUUUUAAUCUUGCGACCGUACUCCCCAGGCGGGAUGCUUAAUGCGUUAGCUGCGCCACUGAAGAGCAAGCUCCCCAACGGCUAGCAUCCAUCGUUUACAGCGUGGACUAC
rnacentral:misc_RNA from 1 species